CCUACGGGAGGCAGCAGUAGGGAAUAUUGCACAAUGGGGGAAACCCUGAUGCAGCAACGCCGCGUGGGGGAUGAAGGUUUUCGGUUUGUAAACUUCUUUUGUUAGAGAAGAUAAUGACGGUAUCUGACUAAUAAGCACCGGCUAACUACGUGCCAGCAGCCGCGGUAAUACGGAGGGUGCAAGCGUUACUCGGAUUCACUGGGCGUAAAGAGCGCGUAGGCGGGAUUGCAAGUCAGAUGUGAAAUACUAGGGCUUAACCAUAGAACUGCAUUUGAAACUGUUAUUCUAGAGUAUAGGAGAGGUAGGUGGAAUUCUUGGUGUAGGGGUGAAAUGCGUAGAGAUUAAGAGGAAUACUAGUUGCGAAGGCGACCUACUAGAAUGUAACUGACGUUGAGGCGCGAAAGCGUGGGGAGCAAACAGGAUUAGAUACCCUUGUAGUC
rnacentral:rRNA from 1 species